rnacentral:rRNA from 1 species
AUUGAACGCUGGCGGCAUGCCUAACACAUGCAAGUCGAACGGAGGUAGGGGCAACUCUACUUCAGUGGCGGACGGGUGAGGAAUGCGUCGGAAUCUACCCUAUGGUGGGGGAUAACACAGGGAAACUUGUGCUAAUACCGCAUAAUGUCGAGAGACCAAAGCAGGGGACCGCAAGGCCUUGCGCGAUAGGAUGAGCCGACGCCCGAUUAGCUAGUUGGUAGGGUAAAGGCCUACCAAGGCGACGAUCGGUAGCUGGUCUGAGAGGAUGAUCAGCCACACUGGGACUGAGACACGGCCCAGACUCCUACGGGAGGCAGCAGUGGGGAAUAUUGGACAAUGGGCGCAAGCCUGAUCCAGCAAUGCCGCGUGUGUGAAGAAGGCCUGCGGGUUGUAAAGCACUUUUGUCGGGAAGAAAUCAUGCUGGUUAAUACCUGGUAUGGAUGACGGUACCGAAAGAAUAAGCA